rnacentral:lncRNA from 1 species
UCUUCUCCUUCUUGAAGCUUCCAACGCCCUUUUCAUGUCAAGUUCAUGAAAAUCAAUUUUUUUCAUGUGAUUUUCCUUGUUUCUUCUCGUUUCCUUUCUUUUCUUAAUUCUUUCUUCUCCAAACUUCUUGGGCACUAAACCUGAAGUUUUUAACCCCAAUUUCUAGCACAUCUAAACCCUAGGAGAAGAAGAAAGAAAAAGAGAGAAAGGAAAAAAAAGCUUGGUUUUGGUGAUUCAAGCAAGGAAAGGUAAGGAUUCUUGUUUUUGGUUUAAGUAGUCUUUGAAAAUGAGUUAGUGACUUAGAGAAAUGUCUUGUGGCAACAAAGAUUGGCUUGAUUGGAAAAAAAAUUGGUAACAUAUAAGCCAAUAGACCUGUGGGUACAUGAAGGACUCAAAGUGGAAAAGGAAAACGGUAAGCUUAACACUAUGUUUUAAAGCCUACGGUUAGUUGAAUAUUGUGAGGAAUUAAGGUUGUUGAAAGGAUCUAUUUGCCUAAGCUAGUUGAAAAUUAUUAAGAUUGUAUUGCAUGUUGUUUGAAAGAAAUGAAAAAGGAAUAUUAUGGAUGGAGGAUUGAGAAACAAAGUAUUGAAAGUUAGAUAGAAAACGAUGCAUGUAAACUAGGAAAUAAUCGAGUGAAAGUGAGAAUGAUUGUUGUUGCCAUAUAUGUGGAUUAUGUGUGGAAAUAUAAGACGAAUUUGAAUGAAAAUGGCUAGAAAAGGUUAAUAUGGGUGCUAGAGUCAUAAUUAAGUUGCAUGUUAUUAUAAUUUAAGGAAUUACGCAAGUAAAGGAUAAAGGCAACUUUGGUAAAAUGUGUCAAGAUAUAAGUUAGUUGACUAAGGAUUCGUGAUUGAAGGAAAAAGAGAAGUAGGAAUGAUGUACACUAAAGGUAUUGCAUUUGAAUUGUUGCUAGGAAAUACAAAGGUAAAGUUAGAGCACUAUAGUGGCUAGUAAAAACAGUUAGAGACACCUCCGAACAAAUAGCGACUUAAUAUCUCGUUGUUGCCGGAUGAGUGAACUUGCAUUUCAAAAUGUUUUGGGGAAAUGUUUACGUCUUUCAAUGAAUCAUUUGAGAAUUUUAUCGGUUUUUGCUUUAAAAUUUCCUGGGAACAAGCCCCUGAUAAAAUGUUUGAUGUUGUGAAAUGUGAAAUGUCACGACCCGGAACUCCCAUCGGGCCCCGUGACAACCACCGCGACGUCCCGAUAAGCACUCAUUACCCCGAAUGCCGAUCGAAACCCCGCAAGGCUUAGCAUCAACUUCCGCAUCUCCUCGGUGAGCGACAGUUAUUAAAUCUCGCAUUUCAAGAAAUCAUAAGUUGUUUCCAACUCAAAAUAAUAAAAUAUUAUUUUCUAGCUCACAUGGGCAUUUUCGUCAUUUUUUUUUUAAAAUUUC